GGCAGCGUGGCGGAAUUGGUAGACGCGAUGCACUCAAAAUGCAUUGUCUUAUGACGUCCCGGUUCGAGUCCGGGCGCUGCUACCA
rnacentral:tRNA from 1 species